rnacentral:rRNA from 1 species
UAAUACGAAGGGGGCUAGCGUUGUUCGGAAUCACUGGGCGUAAAGCGUACGUAGGCGGGCAAUUAAGUCAGGGGUGAAAGCCUUGAGCUCAACUCAAGAACUGCCUUUGAUACUGGUUGCCUGGAGUCCGGGAGAGGUGAGUGGAACUGCUAGUGUAGAGGUGAAAUUCGUAGAUAUUAGCAAGAACACCAGUGGCGAAGGCGGCUCACUGGCCCGGUACUGACGCUGAGGUACGAAAGCGUGGGGAGCAAACAGGAUUAGAUACCCUGGUAGUCCACGCCGUAAACGAUGGAAGCCAGCCGUUGGCCAGCAUGCUGGUCGGUGGCGCAGCUAACGCAUUAAGCUUCCCGCCUGGGGAGUACGGUCGCAAGAUUAAAACUCAAAUGAAUUGACGG